GGCUGAAGACAGCUCACUCCCCAACCAGUGGGUCUGUGUGUGCCAGAUCCGAUCGGUCCAUUGAACACCCGCUGGCUUUCAAAGGAGCAGCAUUGACGAGCCCAGACGAUGACUAUCUGCACUACGAGACAGACAAGUCUUCAAAGGACAUUCCUCCUCCGUUGUACACUAGAAAAGGGGCCCUGUGUGGAAUACCUAAACACUGGGGUAAAAAUAGCUCAGUCAAAGAUCGCAAGGCUGGAAAUAUGGCCACCACACAUCCUCCCAGGUA